GUAGGGGCCAAGCGUUGUUCGGAUUUUCUGGGCGUAAAGGGCGCGUAGGCGGCAUAUUAAGUCAGCUGUGAAAUCUCCGAGCUUAACUCGGAACUGUCAGCUGAUACUGAUGUGCUAGAGUGCAGAAGGGGCAAUCGGAAUUCUUGGUGUAGCGGUGAAAUGCGUAGAUAUCAAGAGGAACACCUGAGGUGAAGACGGGUUGUGGGCUGACACUGACGCUGAUAGCGCGAAAACCAGGGGAGCAAACGGGAUUAGAUACCCCGGUAGUCCUGGCCCUAAACGAUGAAUACUUGGUGUCUGGAGUUAUUAGUGCUCCGGGUGCCGUCGCUAACGUUUUUAGUAUUCCUCCUGGGGAGUGCGCUCGCAAGAGUG
rnacentral:rRNA from 1 species